rnacentral:rRNA from 1 species
UACGUAGGUGGCAAGCGUUGUCCGGAAUUAUUGGGCGUAAAGAGCUCGUAGGCGGUCUGUCGCGUCGAAUGUGAAAACCCGGGACUCAACUCCGGGCCUGCAUUCGAUACGGGCAGACUAGAGUUCGGUAGGGGAGACUGGAAUUCCUGGUGUAGCGGUGAAAUGCGCAGAUAUCAGGAGGAACACCGGUGGCGAAGGCGGGUCUCUGGGCCGAUACUGACGCUGAGGAGCGAAAGCGUGGGGAGCGAACAGG